rnacentral:RNase_P_RNA from 1 species
GGGGGGGAAACCCACGACCAGUGCAACAGAGAGCAAACCGCCGAUGGCCCGCGCAAGCGGGAUCAGGUAAGGGUGAAAGGGUGCGGUAAGAGCGCACCGCGCGGCUGGUAACAGUCCGUGGCACGGUAAACUCCACCCGGAGCAAGGCCAAAUAGGGGUUCAUAAGGUACGGCCCGUACUGAACCCGGGUAGGCUGCUUGAGCCAGUGAGCGAUUGCUGGCCUAGAUGAAUGACUGUCCACGACAGAACCCGGCUUAUCGGUCAGUUUCACCU